rnacentral:rRNA from 1 species
UACGGAGGGGGCUAGCGUUGUUCGGAAUUACUGGGCGUAAAGCGCACGUAGGCGGCUUUGUAAGUUAGAGGUGAAAGCCCAGGGCUUAACCCUGGAAUUGCCUUUAAGACUGCAUCGCUAGAAUUGUGGAGAGGUAAGUGGAAUUCCGAGUGUAGAGGUGAAAUUCGUAGAUAUUCGGAAGAACACCAGUGGCGAAGGCGACUUACUGGGCACAUAUUGACGCUGAGGUGCGAAAGCGUGGGGAGCAAACAGG